rnacentral:rRNA from 1 species
GGAAUCUUCGGCAAUGGGGGCAACCCUGACCGAGCAACGCCGCGUGAGUGAAGAAGGUUUUCGGAUCGUAAAGCUCUGUUGUAAGAGAAGAACGUGUGUGAGAGUGGGAAGUUCACACAGUGACGGUAACUUACCAGAAAGGGACGGCUAACUACGUGCCAC